AACGAACGCUGGCGGCGUGCCUAACACAUGCAAGUCGAACGAGAAGCUAACCUUCGAUUCCUUCGGGAUGAUCAGGUUGGCAGAAAGUGGCGAACGGGUGAGUAACGCGUGGGUAAUCUACCCUAAAGUGGGGGAUAACCCUCCGAAAGGAGGGCUAAUACCGCAUAAUAUCUUCUCCUCUAAAGAGGUAAAGAUUAAAGGUGGCCUCUAUUUAUAAGCUAUCACUUUAGGAUGAGCCCGCGUCCUAUUAGUUAGUUGGUGGGGUAAUGGCCUACCAAGACCACAAUGGGUAGCCGGUCUGAGAGGAUGUACGGCCACACUGGGACUGAGAUACGGCCCAGACUCCUACGGGAGGCAGCAGUGGGGAAUAUUGCGCAAUGGGGGAAACCCUGACGCAGCGACGCCGCGUGGACGAUGAAGGCCUUCGGGUUGUAAAGUCCUGUUCUGGGGGAAGAAACCUUAAGGGUCCAAUAAACCCUUAAGCUGACGGUACCCC
rnacentral:rRNA from 1 species